ensembl:lncRNA
GACCAAGCAGAUUAGAAGCCGCACACUGGAAGGCAACAGGGUAGAGGCAGAGAACUUAACAGAAGGUGAGAUGACAGCUAACAGCACGAUGGCAGACAGCUACAAGGACCUCCCAAGGCACAGGAACACAAGAGGGGCCGCAGUGAGGAUUUGAUGCCGUCGGCUUUGCAAAGGUGUCUGUGUGGCACAAAAUAAGGCAGCACUGUCAACACUUCCCUAAUGGAGGCCAUUCAAACAUUGUUUCGAAUGUGCCUGGCAGGUCCACCAAGAACCUGGUGCACCACCAGCUAGUCUGAAGCUUGAGAAAAGACGGGAAAAAGGGAAGAAAGGUAAUAGCAAGAGCUGACUUCUAUAUUGAACCCCAACCAAGUGUGCUCCCAUCAUCCCAGUGCUCGAGCCUGAGGACAGCCCCAAGGGAGGCUGGCGAAUGGUGGUACCCCGACUUCUCAGAGGAGAAACCAAGUCCAGGGAAGUAGAGGCACUUACCCAGGGUUACUGAGCACCCAUGUUGCAGAGGAAGGAUUGAACUUCACCCCCAGGGCUCUUCCCUAUAGAAAGGGAUGGGGCGUGGGAGAAAGAAGCCCACUGAGAGUGGCUUCCAUGGUGGGGCAGCCGCAUCCGGAAGGAGGGAGGGCAAGGCGUGGGGCCUGGGCUCCCUGCACGGCGAUGAAGGCCAUGUUCCCAGGCUCUCCAGUGCCUGAUCACCGCACUGGCCACCGUUGGUGGUUGGCGCUAGGACAGGAGCACUGCCUGGGUGGUCUAACACACAGGAUGUGUCUCGCCUUAAAGCAGAAGUGAAACAGGGCACACUUCCCCUUGUGAGACAAGAGGCAAGUCUGACCACCCCCUUGCUACUGUCUCCUGCAGGAACCAGGAGGCUGGCUGCCACUGCUGGGGUCUGAGAUUCGGGUUGACAAAGAGAAGCCAGGCUGGUCUGGGGACCUAACUUAUGCAGGGAGUCGGGUGUCCACCUCCCACUGCACACAAUCUUGGGAUCUCUUGCCACAUACCUCCUUAGGCAGCGUCCAUGUGAUUAGAAGGCUUUAUGAUUUAGACUCUAAGGGAGAUGGCCCUUUAUAUAAGUCCCUGUCUCCCGCAGAAUUGCGGCCAACCUGUUGCUGCAAGAUGGAGGUUCAUUUGUGGUUUAGCCACUCAUUUGUUGUGCAGGUGUUCGGUCCUUGUUCUCCCCUCAACAAGUAUAUUAAGAACCAUUAAUGUACCAGGCAUUGUGCUGAUAUAGCGGGAGAAGGAUGGUAAACAAAACAUUACACAAAUCACUAUUGUUACGGUUGUGACAAGUGCUCCAAAAGUCAAGGAGAGGUCGCUGUGAAAGGUUUGAUGGGGCCCCAACCUAGACUAGGAGUCAGGGAAGGCUUCCUCGGCAUUUCUGUGGAGACCUGACGGAUGGCAGGGCUUGCAAAGGGCAGAGAAGGGUGGGGAGGAGCUCCUGGCUGCAAAGACUCUGAGACUCUGAGAUGGAAAGAAGCCUGGUGGGCCCGAGGGAGAGUGAGGGGGCUGGUAUAGCUGGAGAAGGAAGCAGAGACCAGAUCACGCAGGGCCUUGCAUGGGUCCUGUCUGUCUGACGCGUCAUCAAGAGGAGCGUCUGGAAGGCUGGUUGAUCUUGGGCAAGGCUUUCUCUUCUCUCAGCCACAGUUUCCUCAUCUUUUCAAUAGGAAUGUGUCUGCUGUCCUUGCAGUGUUGUUGAAGAGCCCUUAGGUAAAGCACUUAGUACGAUGUCUGGCACAGUGGAGGGGCCUGAUAAGUGGAGACAUUAAUCUAACUGUUGUGACAGUGCGGAGCCAGGAAUCCAGGCUCCUGCCCAGC